UGGGGUCUCCACUGCGCACCCUCACCUCCUCACCUUCGCAGGAGAGCUCCGCCUUUCCGCGCCCCUAUCCUUGGCACCCUGAGCUUCACAAGCCUCUCUGACAGAGGCGCAGAUACCGCUGAGCGUGGCCAGAGGAUCAGAAAGUUGCUGAUGGCCCCCUCAAGGAUGCCUCCUGGAAGACGUCCCAUUCCCCAGAUUACAGAUGUGGACACUGACUCUCUGUGAGGCUCACCAUCCCAGGCCUCUGUAGAAGGAUGGCUCAGAAAAUGUGGAACCUCAUUUCCCAGUGCAUCAGGGGCAGCUGUGGCAGAAGGAAGCUGCUCUGUGACUGGGCAGGUCGGGAGCAAAACCAACAGAGAGUGAACAGUACCAGGAUGAGGUGGAGGGGUCAGACACCUUCCAGGUGUCUCCAACAUUACCAAGUGGCACGCAGGUCAGUAUGAAUGGUUGUCCAUCUGUGGCUAAGGAAACAAGACUGUCAGAGAGGUACUACCUGCUUCGGACAGGGGUGGGUGCAGUCCGAGCAGGUGUGAGAGCAGGGACUUAUGCUGCACACUGCUGGGGAGUUGGGGGCCUUGCUGGAGUGGAGUUUGGCUCCCUGCCAGCCUUUUCUUGCCUGGUUGGCCAGUGAGAGUGCCUUCAGGCAGAGAGGGACAGAGACAACUUGCUACUCUAUGUGCAGAGGAAGAAAAGGAGUCUUUGUCACUUUGGUUCCUGUUAUGGUUUAUAUUCUCCUUAGAGUUAUGGGUGUUGGGUAUUUUGUCCUGGCAGCGAGAAAGUAGCUGAGACAGAUUUUUGGUACCAGAGAAGUGGGUUAUUGCUGUGAUAUAUUACCUGACUGGGUAGUUCAGAAGCCUUGGGAACCAGUCUGUAGGAGUUUGGAAAACAGCUGUAGAAUACUGUAAGCCAAGCUUGAUGGGAGAUUCUGGUCAGAGCUCAGGAAACCAGAAUGUUAAUAGAAAUGCAGCUGGUAGAGACCAGGCUCAGGAGGUUUCAGCUGGGAAUAAAGACUCCAUACGCAGGUCAGCCUCCAGCCCAUGUGUAUUAUGCUUUGGCAGAAAAUUUCUCUACAUUUUGGUCAUAUCCUGAGACUUUGAGGGAGACUGAGACUAAGGAUGGCAGACUACUUAAUCUGAUGGAGGAAAUUUCAAGGCUCUGGGUUGGGCACUACUGGGGGCUUUUAGCCAGAUCUACACAGAGAAUCAAGAGCGAAGGGCCCAGCAGAAUGCUUUUAAAAGUUUUGAGUUUGGCCAGAAAGGAAGCUUUGAUAAACUUGGGGCCUUCAAAGGUGGAGCAGAGGAGCUUUGUUGCUGAAAAGAAGCACUAAAAAGAAUUCAAGUACUUUGGAAUGGGACAAUAGGAAAAAUAGCUUAAGGGCAUUUGAAGAACCAUUGAGGACUCACCCUUUGAAGACUCAAAAUUGCAAAAGUGAAAGACUUUGUUUUGAGAAGAGAGCCCCAGGGCACUGUUUUCCAGCUUUGGAGAAGAGCUGCCUGGGGAAUUGAUUCCCCUGGAUUUACGCUUAGCCAGUCAGGCACUCAGAUGCCUCAGUAGCCCUGAGCAAGAUGCAAAAGGGCUUAGCUACUGCUCCAGCUGGUGGCUGAGCUAGGCAUUAUGCACAGGGUGCUGGUUUUAUACAAAUACAGAAUGUAAGAGUUGUGGGGUCAGGGAGACUUCCACCCAGAUUUCAGAAGCAGGCCUGGGAAACCAGGCAGUGUUCCCCUGAGAGGGCAGUGAAGCUGUGAGUGUGAAGUAGAAAGUGCAGUGGAGACCCCAGGAUGUUGCAAAAGCCAGGAACAUGGACUGGCUGAGAAAAACCCCAAGGAUCGAGCAACAGCAUCCCAGGAGAGAAGCAAUGAUGAUUACAACCAUAGGCACGGUCAUAGGGGCGAGGCCGUCGAAGGCCGGUGGAGUUCACAUCUCACCACAGCUUGCCCAGGGUGGCAGACAUGAAUCUACAGGAUUUAAUGUUUGUCCUGCUUGGUUUUAGUCUUGCUUUGAUCCGAUUGUUACAGGAAAUAAUACGGGGAUGAAAUAAGAAAUAUUAUAUCUCCCAACCUGUUAACUGUAUGAUAUGCCAAGUUCUUGUUCUCUAGAAAUUGAGGAAGGAGUCCUAGGAACAAUGGAAGUUAAGAGUAGGAAGACUCCUGAGGAAAGGUCCUGAGGGGCAGGAGGGGACCUGGGUUGGUAGCCCCCGGGAGCUCACUUUACCGAGGAGCUUCAUAGGGUCAAACCCAUGUGGGUAUUAUGUAGGCCACAGCCGUGAUCAUCCAAUAAAGUUACAAGUAUAGUCACUUAGGUAAUAGAGGUCCAAUUGGGAAACAAGUCACGUAACAAGCGUGGAUGGAAAGAACAAAGAAUCUCCUAGGAAGUGGGUCUAGAGGUCUCUGGUCACCCACCUGGAUGGCUGAUGUCUAUCUAGACUUCAUUAGGCCCAGUGUUUGUUCUUUGAGGAAGUCUGGAGGUCUGGUCAUCUUGUCUUUAUCUUGAGGCCUGGUUUUCAGUUGUGUCGAUGUGUCUCUGGUCAUAGCUGUGGUGUGUUUUGCCUUUGUCCUGACCCUCUCUCUCGAGGAACUAGCCUUAUCUGACUGCCUGUAACCCAUCUGUCUGUAAUACUUUUCCUUUCCAUCCUCCAUUUCUCCAUUUUGGAAUGGGAAUGUUUACCCUGUGCCUUUGUAUGUUGGAAGUGUUUAACUCUUCAGUUUUACAGGGGUACACAGCUAAGCGUGUACCUGAAACGUCAGGGUAGACUUUAGACAUGGACUUUUUGGAAGUGCUGAAACUGUUAGGACUUUGGCAGCUCUUAGAGAUGGACUAAACACAUUUAUUUUGUUUGUUUGUUUGUUUUUCUGGUACUAGGGAUUGCACUCAGGACCUUGCACUUGCCGGGCAGGCGCAGCACCACUGAGCUAAAUUCCUGGGCCUAAACUAAAUACAUUCUGUGUAAAGGGAUAUGCAUGAGUCUUUUGGGGGCCAGGGAUGGGAUGUUAUGGUUUAUAUCUAAAUGUUACCCCCAAAGACUUAUGAGCUCUUAGGAGGGGCUUUUGGGAGGUGAUGGAUCAUGGGGGUGUGAUACUUACCAGAGGAUUAGCCAUUGAUGAGUUUGUAGCUAAAUGUGAUGUUGGGAGGUGAAGCUGAUAGAGGACGUGGGUCACUGGGGGUGUGGCCUGGAAGAGUCUAACUCCCUCCUUUCUCCCUUGAUCCCUCUUUGCUUCCUGCUGCCAUGGCAUAAACUCCUCUGCAUGGCCUAAUUCUCCUCUGCCAUGCCACCCUGCCUUGGAGCCAACUGACUGUGGACUGAAACCUCUACAAAAUGGAGAGAAUGGCAGAGGUCCAUAACCUUCAUUUUUCAUUGUCAAGAAUGAAAAUUCCACCUGUCCUUCAGCAACACUGACUGGCACCUAGCUGGCCUGCAUCCAGCAGUGACAGUACCAAGUUGGCACUGAGGCUCCUGAGCCCUACGUUCACCAGCACUUGCAAACACCACUGAGGAGGCUUGCGUCAUAUAAGAUUUAGAGAUUGCUGAUGUCCAGUCUUGGGAAUGUGGAGACCUGCCCAGUGGAGGAGCUGCUUGAGUGCCUGGGGCUGGGAGGGCAUUGAUGUUCAAGGAGGUGGUUUAGGGAAGGCUGUGAGCUGAGGGGCAUGGAAGAGGUGUAGGGCUGUACCAUGGUGGGAUUUCAGAGCCCAUGAAGGGGCAUGGAGAAAGUAUUUGGAAGUGAGGAGUAAGCCCUGUCGGGAGCAAUUCUACAUCAUUUUGGGGAAAAACCAUUUGCUUAGGCCUAGUUCUCCUGCCUACAGGCCAGCUAUGGCAUUUUGACACAUGAUUCUAUUUUGGCCUCCAGUCACAGCUAAGACCUCAAUGGUCCAGUUAUGCUGUGAUGCUCCAUGACAAGAUUACACCAGCUGAAGAUAUCCUGGGAGGAACAAAAUCUUCAUCUACUCAGUUCCUCGAUGUUCUUGGAUUUCUGCUGCCCCUCAGUCAUUUGUUACACUUUGUUUAUCCCGAUGUACUGAACUCUCUGCAAGUCAUUUGUUACCUUUGUUUCU